GUGACAGCCCCGUACACAAAAAUGCACAUACUGUGAGCUCGAUGAGUAGGGCGGGACACGUGGUAUCCUGUCUGAAUAUGGGGGGACCAUCCUCCAAGGCUAAAUACUCCUGACUGACCGAUAGUGAACCAGUACCGUGAGGGAAAGGCGAAAAGAACCCCGGCGAGGGGAGUGAAAAAGAACCUGAAACCGUGUACGUACAAGCAGUGGGAGCACAGAGCAAUCUGUGUGACUGCGUACCUUUUGUAUAAUGGGUCAGCGACUUAUAUUCUGUAGCAAGGUUAACCGAAUAGGGGAGCCGAAGGGAAACCGAGUCUUAACUGGGCGUUAAGUUGCAGGGUAUAGACCCGAAACCCGGUGAUCUAGCCAUGGGCAGGUUGAAGGUUGGGUAACACUAACUGGAGGACCGAACCGACUAAUGUUGAAAAAUUAGCGGAUGACUUGUGGCUGGGGGUGAAAGGCCAAUCAAACCGGGAGAUAGCUGGUUCUCCCCGAAAGCUAUUUAGGUAGCGCCUCGUGAAUUCAUCUCCGGGGGUAGAGCACUGUUUCGGCAAGGGGGUCAUCCCGACUUACCAACCCGAUGCAAACUGCGAAUACCGGAGAAUGUUAUCACGGGAGACACACGGCGGGUGCUAACGUCCGUCGUGAAGAGGGAAACAACCCAGACCGCCAGCUAAGGUCCCAAAGUCAUGGUUAAGUGGGAAACGAUGUGGGAAGGCCCAGACAGCCAGGAUGUUGGCUUAGAAGCAGCCAUCAUUUAAAGAAAGCGUAAUAGCUCACUGGUCGAGUCGGCCUGCGCGGAAGAUGUAACGGGGCUAAACCAUGCACCG
rnacentral:rRNA from 1 species